rnacentral:rRNA from 1 species
GGCGGACGGGUGAGUAACGCGUGGGAAUCUACCCAGUAGUACGGAAUAACAGUUGGAAACGACUGCUAAUACCGUAUGGUAUCGAGAGAUUAAAGAUUUAUCGCUACUGGAUGAGCCCGCGUCAGAUUAGGUAGUUGGUGGGGUAAUGGCCUACCAAGCCCGAGAUCUGUAGCUGGUCUGAGAGGAUGACCAGCCACACUGGAACUGAGACACGGUCCAGACUCC